UGUGGGUGGAUGGAACCUUUUGAGCAGACAUCCGCCUUUUAUCGGUACCGGAAAGGAAUUCAUGAGAAUUCUUGCGUUUCCAAUAUUCUUGAGGUCCUGAUUAUCGAUUGGGAAGCGUUUAUUUCACGAUUCGAGUUAAGCGAAUCUGUCAAUACGCUGAAUGUAUGCUUCGAGAAAAUAAGUUUUCUUGGUUAUUCUAGUGCGAUAUUAGAGUUUUUUUUCCGAAUAUGUAAUGAAUCAUAAAUGUUAUUACUGUAGGAAAUUGUAAAUUAUAUGAUCGACAUGUAGGCUUCUUCGCCACAUGUAAAAAUUAGAAAAAUAUCGAUAAUUAACUCAUUGGGACCCAGUAAAAUAAGAACUCUGUAAAGGAAUCAUAUUUAAGCAACUGCAGAUAGUGUGGAAAACAUCUUCAAUUAACAUGUUCGCCCAUUUCCGACCACCAGAGGAAUUGCACUGUGAGAAAACCGAUGUGAACAUUUUGCGCGGAAGUUAACGACGGCCAUUACGCUGACAAGUCCGUAAUUCACACCAUCGCGUGUUCAUUCGCUAGCCAACUUCUCGGCCGAUUGUUUAGAGGCAUCGUUCCCCCGAUGAGAAGACUUCUGAAAGUGACAUAGAAAACAGUCGCGGCUCACUUUCGUAACUCGCAAUGCAACAAUCCGCCGAUGCACUUUGCAGAAUUAAAUACCUUAACACGUCAAUGAGUCGAAGCGCCGAAUCCUGGGUUCAUACGGACAACGGAACCGUUUGUUUACGUCGCCUCCAUUUCACGGGUGUCGAUAAAUUUAGCUAAAUUCUCGUUAAAAUGUAACCACAACAGACCAUCUAGAACGAAACGACCGCAAAUAUACCCCGCACAACUCAUCUCUAACGGAUAUUCCUUUGGGUCCAUUUUCCAAUCAAUCACAACGCCAGUCGUAAAAUGCAACAGUUGUAUCGUUUCACCAAACCAUCUCGUUAGUUAGCCACAAAUAAGAAAAUUCUCCCACCAUUUGGAACGAAUCUCGUCGAAAAUCGGCAACGAAAAAAAGGGUCUGCUAUCUCGGUUCGGAAGAGAGGAAAUGUUUACAAUCAAAUUUACCAUCGGAUACAAGCGAUGAAGAGCAGCACCCGGCGGAAAGUGGCGAGGACACUCUUCCUACGCAAUAUACAUAAACUCACACACAAUCAGCAUCGGAGCGCAUAACAAGAGCCAUAUCCGGGCAAGAACCAACGCCAACCAACCAACGUGAUCGAUUGGUGUUUGUAUGCGAGGCGAAGACGAGAUGCCUUUCUUUCUUUGCUUGCAGCUUCGGCACCGGCAAACAAAGAACCCCUUGGCGCGCUCCUGUCUGUCUGCCUUUUUGUCAAGAUGAUAGGCUAUCGAUAACGAGGUUACACAGCACAAAGGCGAUGUCCUCAGGACAGCGCCAGGAUGCUGUUACAACAAUAGCGGCACUAAAUGGUAGCACAGUGGGCGAACUUACGGCGGGAGAUAGAAUAAAUUUUAAAGCGAUGUCGUAUUGUUAUUGCCACAAGAAAACCACAAAACUCAUAAAUAUUUUCAAGUAUCCUUACCUUUGGCGUGCGUGGGUAAAAUCGAGGGAUGCGGAAGACAAUCGAAAUGACAUUUCCGACGUGGGUAGAAGAAGUGAAGGAUCGCAAAAUAGGAAUCAAACGAGGAGAAAGUUCAUCAACGGCUAUUUUGAACGUCAUUAACUCAGGCUUGCGAUUGACCAGAAACGUUCAGCAUUGGCCAACAGAUGAGGUGUUGUGUUCCAUCAGGACAACGCAAGGUCACACAAUUCCGAGACAUCCGAAUCAAGUUUUAAUGCAUCCACCAUAUAGUCCGGACCUCGCAACAAACGAUCUCGCAUUGCAAAAAUUUCAGAGUGAUGAUAAAUUGGGAUCAGUAGAAGACUGUGAAAAUCCAUUGCAAUGGUUUUUUGCUAAUAGUGACCAAGACCUCUAUGAUAGAGUCAUUAUGAAGCUACCUUCAGAAUGGCAACAAAUUUUUACAACAAAACGGUGCAUAUUUGACCCAAAUAGGACAAUCUCAAGCAUAUUAAAAAUGUUUUAAAUUUCACCCAAAAAUAUUUUUUUUCACAACCUAAUACAUAGCUUAUGCAUUAACAAAAUGAGCUAACUUCGAAUGGCGAUGAAAAAAAACUACAAAAGAAAAUUCAAAGGAGAAAAAAAUUAUUAAAUCCUUCGUUUCUUAAGGUGAAGGUGGAAGAUAGCCAUUGUUUUCUUAUAGGUAAACCAACGUGUAAAAAUGAGGCAAUAGUGUUUGUGAGAGAAGAGCAUGGCACACGUAAAAAGAUCAAUUCACUUAUCAGACUGUGUGGCGCUUCAUUUACACGAGUCUUUGAAUACAUUUGAAACAAAAAAAUAACAAUUCAAUACUAAAGUAAAAUGUAUGAACGAUGAACCCUAAGCGCAAACCCAAAAAUCAUAGAUUUCAACUGGUGCAGCUGCCCCAUUCACUUUACCACUUAACUUAUAUCUGUUGGUUUUGGAAAAAAAAUCAUAAAAUAGUGAAAUAACAGCAGUUUUCAUGUGUUCAGUUUUUUAUUUGUAGCCCAGCCCAGGAGACUGAAAGUCGCUCUAAUAAAGGU